rnacentral:rRNA from 1 species
UACGAAGGGAGCUAGCGUUACUCGGAAUCAUUGGGCGUAAAGCGUGCGUAGGCGGCUUUAUAAGUCGGAAGUGAAAGCCUGGAGCUCAACUCCAGAAUUGCUUUCGAUACUGUAGAGCUAGAAUACCAGAGGGGAUGGCGGAAUUCCUAGUGUAGAGGUGAAAUUCGUAGAUAUUCGCAAGAACACCAGUGGCGAAGGCGGCUCACUGGCCCGGAACUGACGCUGAGACGCGAAAGCGUGGGGAGCAAACAGG